AUUGAACGCUGGCGGUAGGCCUAACACAUGCAAGUCGAACGGCAGCACAGUAAGAGCUUGCUCUUACGGGUGGCGAGUGGCGGAGGGGUGAGGAAUACAUCGGACUCUACUUUUUCGUGGGGGAUAACGUAGGGACACUUACGCUAAUACCGCAUACUACCUACGGCUGAAAGCAGGAGAUCUUCGGAUCUUGCCCGAUUGAGUGCGCCGAUGUGGGAUUAGCUAGUUGGCGGGGUAAAGGCUCACCAAGGCGACGAUCCGUAGCUGGUCUGAGAGGAUGAUCAGCCACACUGGAACUGAGACACGGUCCAGACUCCUACGGGAGGCAGCAGUGGGGAAUAUUGGACAAUGGGCGCAAGCCUGAUGCAGCCAUACCGCGUGGAUGAAGAAGGCCUUCGGGUUGUAAAGCACUUUUGUUGGGAAAGAAAAGCAGCAGGUUAAUACCCCGGUGUAUUGACGGUACCCAAAGAAUAAGCACCGGCUAACUCCGUG
rnacentral:rRNA from 1 species